UUCGGACGGGCUCAAAGCGCAUGCGUCGGCCCCUCCUCCCGCCGUCUUUGUGCGGCGAGAAGGGCUUCGCGCGUGCGCGGCGGGUAGGGAAGCGUCCCGCCCCCUUCGCGGAUCAUAGAGUUUGACGACGCGUCUUAGUCUUAGAGAGGCUGACGCUUCGGCUCCUAAACUGUGGAGGCCGCAGGGAGUGGGACCGUGGCGUCCCGCUGAGGGGCGCCGGAGGCAACGGGGUCGCACGGAAUCGCUGUGCCGCUCCUGCACCGGCCUCGACUUCAGACACUUAAACUUCAAGGUAGCUUCCUUUUAAGGUCCUAACUUCCUCAGCCACAUCAGGCCUCCAGGCAAGACAGCGUUCAGCAGAAGUUAGCUGAGAGCCCAGGGCCUGAGAUGGGUUGUGUCCAGCAGGAACCUGUGCAUCAGAGUUGAAGAGAGGUUACAAGCCAUGCACAUAAGGAAUGGAUUUCACCAAUCAUUCAAACACCCCCUUUUCUGCAUACUCUGCACAAUAUGUCACUCACGUACAGAACCUGUGGAGGCCCUGCUCAGAGAGAGACGGGUGAGGGAGAAAGAGGAGGAGGAAGAGGACAAGGACAAGCCAACUUCACGAUGAGCUCAGAGCUCAACUUAGAGCUCUAUCACAGGACCCUGAGAUCAUGAGCUGAGCUGAAACCAAGAGUGAGGCACUUAACAGACUGAGCCACCCAGUUGUCUGAGUACUGUGGCUAGUACAGUCCAGUACUAUGUCGAAUAGAAGUGGUGAGAGUGGACAUCUUUGUCUUCCUGACUAUAGAGGAAAAGCUUUUAGUUUUUCUCCAUUGAGGCUGAUGUUAGCUGUGAGUUUUUAAAAUACAACCUUUAUUAUAUUGAGGUUAAAUUCUUGCUCAGAGUCCGAUUGCUCCCAUCUGGCACUGCCAGAGUGUGGGUGAGGGAGGCUGAACUGGGAGUUAAGCGAGGCCCUGCUACCUCCAGGCCCCUGCUCUGUGCACAGGUGCAGAACCUACUUAUGUGUCAGAUGGGCCUCAUGGACAAUGAGGUAUCCCUGUGGCCAGAGCUCGUGCUUCGGGCAUACAGGAUGCCGUGUAUGAAAUGCUGAUGACGUGGCUCAACAAAAUGGGGCAAGGUGCCUCAGUCAACAUCCCAUUGGAUGCCUCGGAAAUGUUAGGGAAAAGAUAUGCGAAGGAGAGAAUUCAGGAGCACCUGGUGGGCUCUGGAAAGUGCAUCUAUGAAGAAGAUGGGACAGCUCUGCUGUAUCCUGAGUGGAAAGAAUCUUUUUAGGAAUCUGAGCUUCCCUGGUUUACCUUUCUUCUUGAAGGGGAAGCAUGAAUAGACACCAGCCUGGAAGAAAGAGUAGAUUCUUGACAAAUACUUGGAGAAAUUGUAAUUAAAAACAUACAGCUCUUGGAAUGUUCUAGAACUUUUUUUAAUGCACUUGGAAUAAGUUUUAUGAAAUGUUGGGUGUGAUAAAUGAAUUGUGGAAAAAUUCUAUGUGGAUUAUAGUUACAGCUAUUUUAUUGUGUUUCAUUUUAUUGCACAUCAAAGAUGUGUAAAGGUUUGUGGAAACCCUGAGUUGAGCAAGUCUGUUGGUGUCAUUUUUCCAACAUUUGCUGACUUCGAAUCUCUGAAGCAUAUUUUGAUAAUUCUUGCAAUGUUUCAAACCUAUUUAUUAUUAUUAUAUUAUGUUAUUGUUUGAUCAGUGAUGUUUGAUUGUAAUUGUUUCAAGGUGCCGUGAAUUGUGCCCAUAUAAGAUUGUGAAUUUAAUUGAUAAAUCAUAUGUGUUUUCUGACUGGUCUACCAGCUAACCCUAAAAUGGCCUCUAAGUGUUCAAGUGAAAGGAAGAGUCACAUGUCUCUCACUCUAAAUCAAUUCAGCUAGAAUGCUUAAGCUUAGUGAGGAAGGCACGUUGAAAGCUGAGAUAGGCCAAAAGCUAGGCCACACAACAAAUAGCCAGGUUGCGAAUGCAAAGGAAAAGUUGUUUAAGGAAAUUAAAAGUGCCUUCCAGUGAACACAUGAAUGAUAAGAAAGCCAAACAGCCUUAUUGCUGAUGUGGAGAAAGUCUGAGUGGUCUGCAUAGAUGAAACCAGCCAGGACAUUCUGUUAAGCCAAAGCCUAUCCUGAGCAAGGCCCUGACUCUCCUCAGUUCUGUGAAGGUUGAGAGCAGUGAGGAAGCUGCAGGAGAAUAGGUGGAAGCUGCCAGAGGUGGGUUCAUGAGGUUUAAGGCCAGAAGCUGUCUCUACCACAACCCAGUGCAAGGUGAAGCAGCCAGUGCUGGUGUAGACACUGCAGCACAUUCUCCAGGAGAUCCAGCCAGGAUAAGUGAUGAAGGAGGCUACACUGAACAACACAUUUCCAAUGUAGAAAAAAUGGUCUCUAUCAGGAGAAGAUGCCAGCUAGGACUUUCAUAGCUAGAGAGAGGAGAAGUCAGUGCCUGGAUUCAAAGCCUCAAGGAACAGCCCGAACCCCUCCUUAGGGGCUAAUGCUGCGGGUGCCUUGACGUUGAAGCCAGGGCUCAUUGAUCAUUCUGAAAAUCCCAGGGUCCCGAAGAAUUAUGCUAAGUCCACUCUGCCCUGUGCUCUGUGAACGGAGCAACAAACCCUGGAUGAUGGCAUUUCAGGAUCACAACAUGGUUUAUUGAAUAUUUUAAGUCCAUUGUUGAGAUCUACCGCUCAGAAAAAAAAUAUUCUUUUCAAAAUACGACUGCUUAUUAACAAUGCAUCUGGUCACACGUGAACUCUGAUGGAGACGUAUAAUGAGAUGAAUGUUGUUUUCUGCUCACAUAGCAUCCAUUCUGCAGCUUAGAGAUCAAGGAGUCAUUAGACUUUCAAGUCUUAUUAUUUAAGAAAUACAUUCUGUAAGGCUGUUGCUGCCAUACAUAGCGAUUCUUCUGAAGGAUUUGGGCAAAAUCAAUUGAAAACCUUCUGGCAAGGAUUCACCAUUCUAAGUGGGUGCCAUUAAGAAUAUUUGUGAUUCAUGGGAAGAAGUCAAAAUAUCAACAUGAACAGGGGUUUGGAAGAAUUUGAUUACAACCUGCAUGGAUGACUUUGAUGGGUUCAAGACUUCAGAGGAGGAAGUGUGGGGGAAAGAGCAAGAGGAGUAGAACUGGAGGUAGAGCCUGAAGAUGGAACCGAAUGGCUGCCAUCUCAUGAUCAGAUGAGGAGUUGCUGCUUGUGGAUGAGUAAAGAAAGUGGUUUCUUGAGAUGGAAUCUACUCCUGAGAAGACUUUGGGAAGAUUGUUGAGAUGACAACAAAAGAUUUAGAGCGUUGAGUAAACUCAGUCGAUAGAACAGCGGCAGGUUGGACAGGACCGACUCCAAUUUUGUUACAAGUUCUGUUGUGAGUAAAAUGCUAUCAGACAGCAUCGCGUGCUACAGAGAAAUUGGAAGAGUCAAUCAACACAGCCAACUCCAUCGGUGUCUUAUUUUAAGAAAUUGCCACAGCCAUUCCCACCUUCAGCAGCCACCACCCUGAUCAGUCAGCAGCCACCAACAUCGAGGCAAGCGCCUCCGCCAGCAAAAAGAUUACAACUCGCUGAGAGCUCAGAUGAUCGUUAGCAUUUUUUUUAGCAAUAAAGUGUUUUUUAAUUUAAUACAUGGCUUUUUAAAACAUAAGGCUAUUGCACAUUUAAUAGACUACAGUAUAGUGCAGACACAACUUUUGAAUGCACUUGGAAACCAAAGAAUUCAUUUGACCCACUUUAUUGUGAUACUUGCUUUAUUGGGUUUCUCUGGAAGCAAACUUGCAGUGUCUCCGAGGUGUGCCUGAAUAUGCUCAUGUGUGGCCUGCAAGUUGUUUUAGUGUGUCUUUCUUUUUGAUUCAUGUGCCUUCUUCAUUCCUAAUAGAAUUGCACUUGCUACUUGUAUUUGUUAUAUCGUAAGAUGCAAUCAUGUUGGCAUGUGUGCAUUUACUUAUAUCUAACUAUUACUAGAGGAUGUGCAUCUUCCUAUUUUUGUAUAUGUUUAUAUGAGUGCGUAGAACUUUUUGAAAUGUACUUAUUAGUUUGAUUACAUGGAUUACCUUAAUGGGAGCAGCCAAUCGUAAAAUGAGUUCGCAUACAAAGGGAGAAGGUGAAACAGCCCACCUCUGGGGAUGGGGAUGGCGGGUUCCAAUUCUCCUUCAUAUGCCCUUUUCCAGAAUCAGAUGACCAGAAACUCCUGAAGUGCCCACUCUUUUCAACAUGAUAAUUACGUGGGCGUAUGAAUAUGUAUAUUACUCAUAAGCUGAUGUUUCCAAGUAAGGAGAGUGAGGAGAAACGGUGUCCUCGUGCAGCCCUGUGUCUGGGUGCCCUGGGCAGGAAUGUGAGGGCCUCCUCCUUGCCUAUAGAUGUGGGCAGGUUGGGAGACGGGUUAGCUCUGAGGUGGCAAAUAGGUUCUAUGUCACGUGUCAUUGCAGAUCACAUGAGUGGACCCUCAGCCCCAUCUUCAUCUUCAGCCCCCUUUCCACCCUACCUGUAUUCCAGUCAUGGCGGGAUGAUGUUAUAGAAGUUAUUCUCAGGGUUCUCCAGCUUUCUCAUCUCAAAGGUCUGGGAGUGCCCAGACUGGAUCCAUUGGCUGGGCCCAAAUGGAGUUGCCUGAACACUCAGGCAGUCAGGGUACUGGUGCUCAAGUGGGGGCACAACCCUCACGGCCUUGCUGCUCCCCUCCCUCCUGCUUCCUUCCAGAGGUGCCCGCCUGCCCCUUCCCUUUCCUGGGAGACUUGGGGUUUCCUGCCUCUGCUGUCCCUUCUAUGUGGAGCGCUUGCAUCUGUAGAAGGGGCCGUGAAUUUUUGCCAGUCAGCGUUCAGCUCACCUGCAGUCCCUUUGUCAGAGUCCUUGAGUGCCCAGCCACGGUAUUAGCCUUAUCAGUGUUUGUCACGCUUACUCAUUUAAGGUAAGCUGCAUCAGGGCAUGGGGCGGAUCCAGUCCAAAUGGCACGUGGCCCUCAACAGGCACUUAAGUGUUUCAUUGGCGAUCGGUGUCCUUUCAUGCUUCUCUCCAGUGGGAGGGGCCACCUUUGAGGAGGUUGUUGGACAUAUCAAACAAUACAAGGAAGGCCAUUAGGUA